rnacentral:rRNA from 1 species
UACGGGGGGUGCGAGCAUUAAUCGGAAUUAUUGGGCGUAAAGGGCGCGUAGGCGGCUUUGCAAGUGGCGGGUGAAAUCCCUCGGCUUAACCGAGGAACUGCCUGCCAGACUGUGAGGCUUGAGACCGGGAGAGGUGAGUGGAAUUCCCAGUGUAGCGGUGAAAUGCGUAGAGAUUAGGAAGAACACCAGUGGCGAAGGCGACUUACUGGACUGAUAACUGACGCUGAGACACGAAGACGUGGGUAGCAAACAGG